rnacentral:tRNA from 1 species
AACUUAAAUAAUUUAAGAAAAAAAUAUUGAUUUGUGGAGUCAAAUAUAUGGGUUUCCAUUUUAAGU